GACGAAGGAUGCAAGCGUUAUCCGGAUUCAUUGGGUUUAAAGGGAGCGUAGGCGGCCUUGUAAGUCAGUGGUGAAAUCUCUGGGCUUAACUCAGAAAUUGCCAUUGAUACUGCAGGGGCUUGAGUACAGUUGCCGUUGGCGGAAUAUGACAUGUAGUGGUGAAAUACAUAGAGAUGUCAUAGAACACCGAUUGCGAAGGCAGCUAACGAAACUGUAACUGACGCUGAGGCUCGAAAGUGUGGGGAGCAAACAGG
rnacentral:rRNA from 1 species